UACGUAGGAGACUAGCGUUGUCCGGAAUUACUGGGUGUAAAGCGCGUGUAGGCGGCAUACCAAGUCUGUUGUGAAAUCGCCCGGCUCAACUGGGCUGGGUCAAUGGAAACUGGUAAGCUGGAGGACGGUAGAGGCGAGUGGAAUUCCCGGUGUAGUGGUGAAAUGCGUAGAUAUCGGGAGGAACACCUGUGGCGAAGGCGGCUCGCUGGGCCGAUCCUGACGCUGAGACGCGAAGGCGUGGGGAGCGAACGGG
rnacentral:rRNA from 1 species